rnacentral:rRNA from 1 species
AUUGAACGCUGGCGGCAGGCUUAACACAUGCAAGUCGAGCGAGCGGCGGACGGGUGAGUAAUGUCUGGGAAACUGCCUGAUGGAGGGGGAUAACUACUGGAAACGUUAGCUAAUACCGCAUACCAUCAGAUGUGCCCAGAUGGGAUUGGUUAGUAGGUGGGGUAAUGGCUCAACUAGGCGACGAUCCCUAGCUGGUCUGAGAGGAUGACCAGCCACAGUGGAACUGUGACACGGUCCAGACUCCAACGGGAGGCAGCAGUGGGGAAUAUUGCACAAGGGGCGCAAGACUGCUGCAGUCAUGCCGCGUGUGGGAAGAAGGCCUUCGGGUUGUAAAGCACUUUCAGCGAGGAGGCUUUACUCGCAGAAGAAGCACCGGCUAACUCCGUGCCAGCAGCCGCGGUAAUUC